AAGUACAUGGAAGAAAUUGCAUACAGGUACAGCAUUUACUACCCUGCAACAACUGGAUUAGUUCUCAGACUAGCAGGAGUUAAAGGCUGCUGCUGUCCUGAGGUUAACGUGGGAAGGGGAAGGAAACCUCAGCACCCCAUCUGGAAGCUGAAAAUCAUAGGACUGUGUUACCUUGGAA